AACGAACGCUGGCGGCAUGCCUAACACAUGCAAGUCGAACGAGACCUUCGGGUCUAGUGGCGCACGGGUGCGUAACGCGUGGGAACCUGCCCUUAGGUUCGGAAUAACUCCCCGAAAGGGGUGCUAAUACCGGAUAAUGUCUUCGGACCAAAGAUUUAUCGCCUUUGGAUGGGCCCGCGUUGGAUUAGCUAGUUGGUAGGGUAAAAGCCUACCAAGGCGACGAUCCAUAGCUGGUCUGAGAGGAUGAUCAGCCACACUGGGACUGAGACACGGCCCAGACUCCUACGGGAGGCAGCAGUGGGGAAUAUUGGAAAAUGGGCGAAAGCCUGAGACAGCAAUGCCGCGUGAGUGAUGAAGGCAUUAGGGUUGUAAAGCUCUUUUACCCGGGAUGAUAAUGACAGUACCGGGAGAAUAAGCACCGGCUAACUCCGUG
rnacentral:rRNA from 1 species